rnacentral:piRNA from 1 species
UCACUCAUUAAGAACAGAGGAGGCUGC